UUGAACGCUGGCGGCAGGCCUAACACAUGCAAGUCGAGCGGUAGAGAGAAGCUUGCUUCUCUUGAGAGCGGCGGACGGGUGAGUAAUGCCUAGGAAUCUGCCUGGUAGUGGGGGAUAACGUUCGGAAACGGACGCUAAUACCGCAUACGUCCUACGGGAGAAAGCAGGGGACCUUCGGGCCUUGCGCUAUCAGAUGAGCCUAGGUCGGAUUAGCUAGUUGGUGAGGUAAUGGCUCACCAAGGCGACGAUCCGUAACUG
rnacentral:rRNA from 1 species